rnacentral:rRNA from 1 species
UACGAAGGGGGCUAGCGUUGUUCGGAAUUACUGGGCGUAAAGCGUGCGCAGGCGGCUUCUCAAGUCAGGGGUGAAAGCCCAGAGCUCAACUCUGGAAUUGCCUUUGAGACUGAGUGGCUUGAGUACGAGAGAGGUGAGUGGAAUUCCCAGUGUAGAGGUGAAAUUCGUAGAUAUUGGGAAGAACACCGGUGGCGAAGGCGGCUCUCUGGAACGCAACUGACGCUGAGACGCGAAAGCGUGGGGAGCGAACAGG